GAUAUAAAACCAACUUCCAGUUAACACACAAAUACCUACUAUAUGCCAGACUAUAUGCUAAAACUGAAAAGGUGGAAUAAGACCCAGUCCUUGCCCUCAAGGAGCCCACGGCCUUAUUGAGGAGAAUGAAAGGUCAAUGGGAAAGCUGUCUGAGACAAUAUGAAAAUCAAUGAUGCCACUCUAGCAUUAGCUGAAGAUCCCCUUGAUUUCAUCCAGCAGCCAAGACACUAAGUGACCCAAAGGAAGAAAAGGGUGAUCAGCGUGGCUGUGUGCCUACUCAGCGCGAAGACAACAAGGAUGAAAACCUUUAUGAUGAUCCACUUCCACUUAAUGAAUACUGCCCAGAAUACGAAUGCAACGACUGAAACUCAAGUAGCAAUUUUGGACAAGGAAGUAAGAUUAAAACUGGGAGCUAUGGACCAAUGGUGGAGCAACAAAAGAGCUAUCCCUCUUGACAGCAUAAAGCCUCCCUAACAGCCUUGUGCUCCCUACUUCUUAAUUACUUUCAAUGUGACAGAAGGAAAAAACUUAAAUAAAACAUAUUUCUUAUUUAGA
rnacentral:lncRNA from 10 species